rnacentral:rRNA from 1 species
GACGAACGCUGGCGGCGUGCUUAACACAUGCAAGUCGAACGGAAAGGCCCUGCUUUUGUGGGGUGCUCGAGUGGCGAACGGGUGAGUAACACGUGAGUAACCUGCCCUUGACUUUGGGAUAACUUCAGGAAACUGGGGCUAAUACCGGAUAGGAGCUCCUGCUGCAUGGUGGGGGUUGGAAAGUUUCGGCGGUUGGGGAUGGACUCGCGGCUUAUCAGCUUGUUGGUGGGGUAGUGGCUUACCAAGGCUUUGACGGGUAGCCGGCCUGAGAGGGUGACCGGCCACAUUGGGACUGAGAUACGGCCCAGACUCCUACGGGAGGCGGCAGUGGGGAAUAUUGCACAAUGGGCGGAAGCCUGAUGCAGCAACGCCGCGUGCGGGAUGACGGCCUUCGGGUUGUAAACCGCUUUCGCCUGUGACGAAGCGUGAGUGACGGUAAUGGGUAAAGAAGCACCGGCGAACUACG